rnacentral:rRNA from 1 species
CGUAGGGUGCAAGCGUUGUCCGGAAUUAUUGGGCGUAAAGAGCUCGUAGGCGGUCUGUCACGUCGGAUGUGAAAACUCGGGGCUCAACCCCGACGCCUGCAUUCGAUACGGGCAGACUUGAGUUCGGCAGGGGAGGACUGGAAUUCCUGGUGUAGCGGUGAAAUGCGCAGAUAUCAGGAGGAACACCGGUGGCGAAGGCGGGUCUCUGGGCCGAUACUGACGCUGAGGAGCGAAAGCGUGGGGGAGCGAACAGGAUU